rnacentral:misc_RNA from 1 species
UGCCAUGUGGAGCGCGUUCU